AGUUGGAUCGAUUAAUCGAUAUUUUCGAUUCACCGUUGUGCGGAAAACAAAUGAAAAUCAACUAGAGCAUCAGAAAUCCAAGAUGGUAAUGUGGUAUCACGAAAUUGCGAGGAACUUGCGUAGAGUCGGAACUACGCAAAAGUGAAUGUCUGCAGGUCAAAAGGACGGGGAAAACCUAUGAGUCAGCGGUUCCAGUGAGGCGCUCAAGGUCCUCUUGGAAAAAGGGGGUGCGAAGCGAAAUAGCAAGCGAACAUGUCCAUAUUUGGUCGUAGACGCGCCAGAAGAUUGUUUGCGUGGUGGGGAAAGCCGAGUGAUUAAAAAGGGAUGUUUUCGCCGAAAGGGCAGAACUAGUGUGCAAGACGCGAGACUACCAAGUCGUUUAAGUUGAACCAAGUCGUUUAAGUUGUUUAAGUUGUUAAGUUGUAUUCAGUAGAGUUAAUUAACCGGAUAGUUUUAUUUUAUUAUUAGUUCCUAGCCACUGUAAACAUAUAUAUAAAUAAAUUUUAUAUUUACUAUAGUAAGUACCUUCAAGACGCACGUACAUUCGUGUCUUUCUUAUUUUAUGAAAUAAGAAGUUUAUAUUAUUAUUUACUGUGCAUAUUUUUAGGAUAAAAUGGAUUGUUCAACUGCCGAGAGGCAGAACGACAAAGAAGUAGGAGAAAAUGGAGAUAAUCACGAAGAAACAAACAGAGGAGGAGGAAGCAGCUCUGACAAAUAUAACGAACGAGUGGAAAAAUCAGAAGAACAAUAUAUAAAAGAAAUCUCAAAUUGAAAAAAGAAAUUAAAAGACUGAAGUACAGUUGAGGAGGAAGGGGCAGAAACCAUGACAGAGGAGGAGGAAGGGGCGGAAAACGAGGAUGCGGAGGAAGGGGUGGAAAGAACUGUCCUAUUAUUAUAUUUAAAUAAAAAAAAUUAAAAAGAGUACUAUGGUUUGUUUGUU